rnacentral:rRNA from 1 species
GACUACUCGGGUAUCUAAUCCUGUUUGCUCCCCACGCUUUCGCACCUCAGCGUCAGUCAUCGGCCAGGAGCUCGCCUUCGCCACUGGUAUUCUUCCGGAUAUCUACAGAUUUCACCCCUACACCCGGAAUUCUAGCUCCCCCUCCGUGACUCAAGUCCCGCAGUUCCCAGCGCAGUGUCGCAGUUGAGCCGCGACCUUUCACGCCAGGCUUACAGAACCGCCUACAUGCCCUUUACGCCCAGUAAUUCCGAACAACGCUUGCCCCCUACGUGUUACCGCGGCUGCUGGCACGUAGUUAGCCGGGGCUUAUUCGCCGGUUCAUGUCAUCACCCGGGCAUUCCCUCCCAGGCUUAUUCUUCCCCAGCAAAAGGACUUUACAACCUCACGGCCUUCUUCAUCCACGCGGCGUCGCUCCGUCAGGCUUUCGCCCAUUGCGGAAUAUUCCUCACUGCAGCCUCCCGUAGG